GGGGGCUUCACCGCCUACCAAUUCCUGACAAACUCCGAAUGCUAUAGAAUGAUUUACAGCAGUGAGGGCAUGGGUGCUAAGGUCCAUGUCCGAGAGGGAAAGAACCCGGACCAUCAGCUAAGGUCCCCAAGUGUAUACUAAGUUGAAUAAACGAGGUUUGACUGCCCAGACAGCUAGGAUGUUGGCUUGGAAGCAGCCAUUCAUUUAAAGAGUGCGUAACAGCUCACUAGUCGAGCGGUCAAGCAUGGAUAAUAAUCGGGCAUAAGUAUACCACCGAAGCUAUGGCUUUGUGAUUUAUCACAAGGGGUAGGGGAGCAUUCUAUGUGCGUUGAAGGCGAACUGCGAGGUUUGCUGGAGCGUAUAGAAAAGAAAAUGUAGGCAUAAGUAACGACAAUGCGGGCGAGAAACCCGCACACCGAAAGACUCAGGAUUCCUCAGCUAUGCUAAUCAGCUGAGGGUUAGUCGGGACCUAACGCGAACCCGGAAGGGGUAGUGGAUGGACAAUCGGUUAAUAUUCCGAUACCUGCCGGCGCUAAACGUGACGGAGGGGAAAAGAUAGUGCGUACUGACGGAAUAGUACGUUGAAGCAACUGUUAAGGUUGCUAUAGUACACCAAGGCUUCGGCUGCGGUGAUAAUCUAUCGGAUCCACUUCCAAGAAAAGCAAGCCAGGCAGCCCGUACCGUAAACCGACACAGGUAGUUGGGAUGAGAAUUCUAAGGUGCUCGAGAGAUUCAUGGCUAAGGAACUAGGCAAAAUGGGCCCGUAACUUCGGGAGAAGGGUCGCCAACAGCAAUGUGGGCCGCAGUGACUAGGUCCAGGCGACUGUUUAUCAAAAACACAGGACUCUGCAAAGUUGAAAGACGACGUAUAGGGUCUGACACCUGCCCGGUGCCGGAAGGUUAAGUGGAGCUGUUAUCUUCGGAGAAGCAGUGAAAUGAAGCCCCGGUAAACGGCGGCCGUAACUAUAACGGUCCUAAGGUAGCGAAAUUCCUUGUCGGGUAAGUUCCGACCUGCACGAAUGGUGUAACGAUCUGGACACUGUCUCAGCCAUGAGCUCGGUGAAAUUGUAGUAUCGGUGAAGAUGCCGAUUACCCGCUACGGGACGAAAAGACCCCGUGCACCUUUACUAUAGCUUCGUAUUGACCUUGGAUAAGUAAUGUGUAGGAUAGGUGGGAGACAUUGAUCAGGCGUCGCCAGGCGUUUGUGAGUCGUUGUUGAAAUACCACCCUUUGCUUAUCUAGGGCCUAAUCUGCCUUUGGCGGAGACAGUGCGUGGUGGGUAGUUUGACUGGGGUGGUCGCCUCCAAAAGAGUAACGGAGGCUUCUAAAGGUACCCUCAGCACGCUUGGUAACCGUGCGUAGAGUGCAAUGGCAUAAGGGUGCUUGACUGAGAGACCUACAAGUCGAUCAGGUUGGAAACAAGAGCAUAGUGAUCCGGUGGUUCCGCAUGGAAGGGCCAUCGCUCAAAGGAUAAAAGGUACGCCGGGGAUAACAG
rnacentral:rRNA from 1 species